rnacentral:rRNA from 1 species
GAUGAACGCUGGCGGCGUGCCUAAUACAUGCAAGUCGAGCGAACAGAUAAGGAGCUUGCUCCUUUGACGUUAGCGGCGGACGGGUGAGUAACACGUGGGUAACCUACCUAUAAGACUGGAAUAACUCCGGGAAACCGAGGCUAAUGCCGGAUAACAUUUAGAACCGCAUGGUUCUAAAGUGAAAGAUGGUUUUGCUAUCACUUAUAGAUGGACCCGCGCCGUAUUAGCUAGUUGGUAAGGUAACGGCUUACCAAGGCAACGAUACGUAGCCGACCUGAGAGGGUGAUCGGCCACACUGGAACUGAGACACGGUCCAGACUCCUACGGGAGGCAGCAGUAGGGAAUCUUCCGCAAUGGGCGAAAGCCUGACGGAGCAACGCCGCGUGAGUGAUGAAGGUCUUCGGAUCGUAAAACUCUGUUAUUAGGGAAGAACAAAUGUGUAAGUAACUGUGCACGUCUUGACGGUACCUAAUCAGAAAGCCACGGCUAACUACGUG